GAACCCCAUUCAUUUUCAGUGUCUCCGAAGCAAGUUUGCUGCAUCAAGGUAUUGUCAGGCUGGUGGAGAGAUGACCAGGUUGAUGUUGCCUUGACACGGCUGGAGUGAUGGUGAGGCUAGUGGAGUGAUGCAGCUGGUGGAGCAAAGGAGAGGCUGGUGGUGCUUGCCAUUCCUGUAAGCGGCGGAGUGAUGACGGAGCUGGUUAGUGGGGCUAUUAAUGAUGAAGCAGAUAUGUUGACCUUAGUCCUGGGGAUCUACAUACCUAUAGAAGCUGAAGUCAAGGUAGGUUGUGGGACAUUUGUUGGCGCAAAAGUCAGGCCGAGCACCUCCAUGGCAACGAUAAAAGUGUUUGGUGGCCUGGUUGUUGUAGGCCUAGAUGUUGCUUGGCUUUGCUGGUUCUUCUUUGAUCUUUUUGUUUGGCUUUUGCUUCCAAGAUGACCGUCUUUUAAGAGCCCCUUUUUCC